UUAUCAUUGAGUCAACAUAGCAGCAGAAUUAAAAAAUAAUUUGAAAGUGAUGAAUGAAAUCGAAACAUUUUGAGAUUGAUUCUGCAUGGGAUCUGAACCUUGUCACGUUCAUCGUUUUUCCUUAUAAUAUAUUUGGUUACACUGAUGCAAAACUUCAGGAAGAGUACACAAGAUGAAAGAUGCAUGAAAACCAGAGCGAUGGAAAAAAACUUGGAGGAUGACUUCACCAUGGAAAGAACCUGCUGAUGUUUGAGUUCAUCAAGUGUAGUAGCUGACUUAGUCUAUUUGAACUAUAAAAAUAACUAUAGCAGAAGUUAAUCUUCAUCAUUGUGUGUUUUGGCACUAAGAAAUGUGAAGUAAUCUCAAGUUUAAAUUAAUGAUGUCAUGUCCAUCACUGAAAUAGACUACAUCUUCAACCAAUUUCAGAGAAUGAGACUUAAAAAGUUUAGCAUUAUAAAAGAAUACCAGCAAUAUAACCAAGUCAGUAAUGUUACAUAGUGUGUUUAGCUUUGCACUGGACAACUGUAGAAUACCUACUGAUGGUGAAAAGCUUCCUAAUGAUGCACUAAACAUAAAAUGUUGCUACCCGUACAAGUAAGUAUGAGAGGAGUGCACAUUAAAAAAAGCAUUUUGUAAGCAGCUUUCUUGUCAACCGGUAAAACAGGUAGAGCAUACCUGCAAUACUAAAUGCUAUACUGUAUAGUGCACUCAUUGACACUUGAAGUGUUUGUUUCUGUUUGUGAAGUAAACAAAUCAUAUGAGGAAGAGUCCAUUUUGUAGAGAUUUCUAUUCUUCAUAUGCAAGAUACGCCUGUAAGAGUUACUGUUAAGUCAAUUAAGGAAAACUAUAAUUACAAAUGGGGGCUAGAUACCCAUACAAAGUGUUAAUAUGCACAUCUUACAAUGAAAUUAUGUAGUAGUCUACAUGCUAAUGCAAUGAGUUUGUUGAGGUGAUGAAUCCAUAAACAAUAAACACAUUCCAAA